UACGUAGGGUGCAAGCGUUGUCCGGAUUUAUUGGGCGUAAAGAGCUCGUAGGCGGUCUGUCGCGUCGGAUGUGAAACCCAGGGCUCAACCCUGGGCCUGCAUUCGAUACGGGCAGACUAGAGUGUGGCAGGGGAGACUGGAAUUCCUGGUGUAGCGGUGAAAUGCGCAGAUAUCAGGAGGAACACCGGUGGCGAAGGCGGGUCUCUGGGCCAAUACUGACGCU
rnacentral:rRNA from 1 species